UACGUAGGGUGCAAGCGUUAAUCGGAAUUACUGGGCGUAAAGCGUGCGCAGGCGGUUCUAUAAGACAGAUGUGAAAUCCCCGGGCUCAACCUGGGAACUGCAUUUGUGACUGUAGAGCUGGAGUACGGCAGAGGGGGAUGGGAAUUCCGCGUGUAGCAGUGAAAUGCGUAGAUAUGCGGAGGAACACCGAUGGCGAAGGCAAUCCCCUGGGCCUGUACUGACGCUCAUGCACGAAAGCGUGGGGAUCAAACAGG
rnacentral:rRNA from 1 species